AACGAGGCCGACCUGCGGCUGAGUUACCUGCGGAAGGAUCAUUACUGAGUGUAAAAACUCCCAAACCCAUUGUGAACAUACCACUGUUGCUUCGGCGGAUACGCCCCGGGCGCGCUCUUCACAGGGCGUGCCCCGGAACCAGGCGCCCGCCGGGGGACCGAAACUCUUGUUUUCUUAGGAUCUCUGAGUGUGAUUAUUAAAUAAAUCAAAACUUUCAGCAACGGAUCUCAGAUCGGAAGA
rnacentral:misc_RNA from 1 species